UUUAAUCAUUGCUAUUUCCUUUUCAACCAUGGACAUAGCAUUACCAGCACGAGCAAUUCGGCUACCUGGAUUAACUUUACCUGAAUUACCACCUCUACCUUCAGUCACAUUGCCAACUCUACCUCCAGUCUCAUUGCCACAUCUAAGAGUACCACCUCUACCUUCAGUCACAUUGCCAACUCUACCUCCAGUCUCAUUGCCACCUCUAAGAGUACCACCUCUACCUUCAGUCACAUUGCCAACUCUACCUCCAGUCUCAUUGCCACCUCUAAGAGUACCACCUCUACCUUCAGUCACAUUGCCAACUCUACCUCCAGUCUCAUUGCCACCUCUAAGAGUACCACCUCUACCUUCAGUCACAUUGCCAACUCUACCUCCAGUCUCAUUGCCACCUCUACCUCCAGUCACAUUGCCACCUCUUCCACCUGUUCCAGGUUUGCCAUCUCUACCACCGGUUUUGCCAUCUCUACCAC
rnacentral:lncRNA from 1 species